AUAUUUUUUAAAGUAUCUAGUACCAGUAGGUCUACUACGAAACUAUUUUGAGACUCAAACAAUCGGACGAGAAUGCCGCGUCCUGCUCUAACAACGUCAUUUCACGUUUGUUAGAG